rnacentral:rRNA from 1 species
CCCUUAGAUGUUCUGGGCCGCACGCGCGCUACACUGAUGCAUUCUACGAGUUUCUUCCUGGUCCGAGAGGAAUGGGUAACCUUUUGAAAGUGCAUCGUGAUAGGGAUAGACUAUUGCAAUUAUUGGUCUUCAACGAGGAAUUCCUAGUAGACGUAGUUCAUCAGACUGCAUCGAUUACGUCCCUGCCCUUUGUACACACCGCCCGUCGCUCCUACCGAUUGAAUGCUCAGGUGAGCCAUUCGGACUUUCAUCAUGCUGGUUUCCAGUUUUGAUGAAGGAAAGUCUUGCGAACCUUAUCAUUUAGAGGAAGGAGAAGUCGUAACA